CUCAUGAUCUGCCCGCCUCAGCCGCCCAAAGUGCUGUCAUUACAGGCGUAAUGACACUCAGCCACCGUGCCUGGCCCCACAGAGUGGUUUUAAAGUCAAAUCACUUUGGAAGCGAGUUUUUAAACAGCCCAGCUGGGACCUUUAGUUUCAAUGAGGGAUUUCACCUAAGCCUCUGACAAGUCUCCAAGCACUGUUUGUUUUAAAGCACUAAGCACUUUAGACUUAACUUGGCAAGAAUACCUGGGUAUCUCUAAAUAAAUCAGUGACCCCAAAUGUCUAAAGAACAAAUGAAGAUUCUGCAGAUUCUUUUCCUCUAGUAUCUCUAUCAGGCCAGAGCAUUCUUCUUUUAGUGCAUGCUUAUUUUUAUACUUGCUUUUGCAACCCUUUAUGCUUUUAUUGAAAUGUUUGUAACCUUUUGUAACAGCCUCUUGAUAAGCUUCCAUGUGGGUUUUCAUUUUGCAAAUGAGAUCUUAUUUACCAAGUUGGUGGCUUGUGUCUUUUGGCUAAAUAUGUGGUAUAUGUUAGGGGCUAUAACGAGUUAUGUUUGAGAGGCCAAUAAUUUGUUAUUACCAUAUAGUAGAAAGAAUAAACAUGUUUUCUCAAGAUUCCCAUUCCUAAGUUGUGUAAUCUAACACUCGCCCAGGUACCUACCUCUGCGAAGGGACUCUGAAGACAGAAUUAAGUUAAAUAAUCAGCUGUCCUUAAAUUAGAUAAGGAAGCUGAAUUUUUCUAGUUGGGAGGCUAAUAUUUAAUGUCAUCACUGGAAACCUUAAAAGCAAAGCAGGAAAACAGAAAAGUUAGAGAGAAGCUGUUGAAGAUGGAGGCAGAGGAAAGAUGAAGUGGAAGGGAAGGUACAGAGAUUUGAAACAUGAGGACUCAACCCACUGUUGCCAACUUUAAGGGCUGAAGAAUGUAGGUGGUCUCUAGAAGCUGAGAAUGACCCCAGUCCACAGGCAGCAAGGAAGCAGGACCUCACUCCUUCAGCUACACGGAGCUAAAUUUGGCCAACAAUCCAAAUGAGCUUAGAAGUGAACUAUCCCCCAGGGACUGGCCAGCAGACACUUUAAUUUCAGCCUUGGGAAAAACCCAGAGCAGCCAAUUCUGACUUCUGACUGGCUGAACUGUGAGGUAAUAGACUUGUGUUGUUCUAAGCCUCUGUUUGAUCUAAGUUGCUUUAAGUCUGUGGUGAUGGUGCACAUACUCUAAUGGUAGCAAUAGAAAACUGGUAAGGUAAAAAAUGCCUUGGAGUAUCUGAGUGUCCUGGGUUACUUGAUUUCAACAACAGCUGGCCAGGAAAAGAGAGCAAGGGAGAAAAAGAGAGGAAAAAGGAAAAGAGGAGAGAAGGUAUCUGACAUUAUAAACAGCAGGGACAAUUUGGUCUCCACUCCAUUCUAUGACUCUCACGUAGCUUCUUGCACACCUCAUGGUAUUAGCGUCUCACAACACUGAGUGGGUUUUUUAAAUUUGAUGGGUUUCUUGAGAGUACAAGGUGGCCUUUUUUGGGUACAAAUUUAAAAUUUGAUGGGUUUUUAGGGUACAAGAAUGGCCUUCUUUAUUAUAAACUGUGUCCUACUGAGUACAUUAUAUUUAUGAAUAGUUACAGUAUAGGGUUGUAUAUGUAAAACAGUGCCCACUAUACUUUAAGGAAACUGUAAGAGAUCUUCAGCAGUAUUUUGAUUUCAGGUCAUUUUCAUCUUAUAGACUGAUUUUUUUCGGAAACAAACCACCAUGUGACAUCCAACACCAUUGUCCCGAAUGCUAUCCCUCCCAGUCACAGCCUUUGGAGAACCUGAGCUUCUAGAAGGAAGCAGUUCACAGGAAAAUAAAGGAGCCUCACUUGCUGUUGCUAAAAAGGCUGAGGCCCAUGUAUAUACUGUCAGCCCAUCAAUUCCCUCAACUUCUCUACGCUGGAUUAGAAUGUCCCUUUUUCCUUUCUAAGCACACUACAAAUCAUUCCUUUUUUAACCUCUUUUCUUAUACAAGGUAACCUGGGAUGUUAGUGAUAAAUAAUCUGAUUCAACCUGUGAAAAUCUGGAGGGUUGGGAAGGAAAUAACAAAGCACACGUAUGUCUUGCCCCAGCCCUGUUCCCUCAUUGGUUUCCUCAAUGCCCAGGAAAAAAGCGCUGAUUGAGAUGAAUUUUCUAAUGCAUAAUAUUCUUUCUCUUUGUAUAGCCUAGCUUCAGUAUUGCUUCUCUCUCAUGUAUCUUUGUAAUUUUCUGUGUAGGAAACUCUGGAGGCCUCCCACAGAUUGGCUCAUUUUAACAAAAAUGCAUUUCUUCUGCCCUCUACAACCUCCAGGAGCCUUCAAAGAUGAAGUUAAUUAUACAUAUUUUAAAAAGAAACCAAACACAGAGUCUUGAGGAUUUCAAGUUCUAAAACCAGAUUUAUUAUGUUCAAAGUUGUGUCUGGAUAAAAGGAAAGUGUAACAUUAAAAUAUUAAUCUAUUCAUGCCAUUUAGUGCUUUGAGUUAUUCACAGAUGCUUGGGGUUGUUUGUUUGUUUGUUUUGUUUUGUUUUUGUUUGUUUGUUUAUCUAAGAAUAAGGCAUUUAUCUGAGACCAAUCAAAUGGAAAGGAAUAUUUUUUGCUUUCGGAAUUCUUCCCAUUUGGGGUUGUUUUAUUAUAGAACACCAUCCCUUGGACAUUUUAUGAGCUGUAUUCCUAACACAUUUACAUGUGAUUGAAGCGCUUAACAGAAAAACUAGGUAAAUUGAGUACUAACAGCUAAAGCAAAAUGCUAGGCAACUAUUUCCAAAUGUAAAGUGCUUUGAAGCUGUUAAGCCAUUCUAUCCCACUCCCCCAAGCUCUCCUUCCUCUGAGAAUUAUAAAGGAGAUGAUGUUCUGUAAAAUAUUUGAUGAUGUCUGUUUUAGUCGACCAUUUACAUUUUCCAAACUGAUUUGGGAGUUUAGCUUUAGCCUCUCCCCAUUUUAUGUUGUUUAGUCAAGAAUCUUCUAGGUACAGAAUAAAGUUUUUGAAUUUUGCUCUUCUAUUUAUAAAAAGACAAUAAUACUACUCAUCUUUGCCAAUCUCAUUGGAUUAGGGAGCUUGGACGUUAUGAUAAACAAGGAUAUAAACUUUAAAUAGCCAUACAUAUAUAAAGUAUUAGAAAUGAUAUUACUUCUAACAUUGUUAUUAGCAGAAACUUUACAGACUCAAGAUGCUAUGAAAAUGUAGAAGGCACAGAACUUAUACUCUAUUAUAGCUGAGGAUUCAGAAAUAUCAUUUAGGCCUGAAAUACUUUAUUUCAGUUCUAAUAUUUGUUUGGUUAGAAGCAUUUUGACAGGUAAUACUAUGCUCACUAAAUGUUUGCUCCCCACACUUUGCCCAGGUUUUUCAACCAUAUCUCAUUUACUAAAAUCUUCAGGAUCUUUUCUCCUGGGUUGUUUUCCUGUGGAGACUCUUGCUAGUGUUUUAUUCAUAAUUGAACUUUACAUGUACUAUAUCUUGCAUAGAGUACACUAGGCUUGCCUCGUCUUCAUUUGAGAUAUACCUUUCUUUUGUUAUCACCUAAGGUCACAUUGAUUUUUUGUCAGUGUCUCCUAUAGUGUAUUCCAUGCUGGAUUGAAUAAGGAAUAUGGGGGAGGAGACAUACUCUGCAGUAAUUCUUUGGAAUUUAGGAAGGGCCAUUGUUGAUCAUAUAAUCGGAAGAUCUUUGAUUUGAUACAAGAAACAGAGGGCCAGAAUGAUAAAGCCAUUUGCUUAAGUUCACACAGUUGGUUGCUAGCAAGGGUAGAAUUAAAAUUCUGAUGAUUCCAGAUCGAAUGCUCUUCCCACUAUGCAGGAGAAGGAGGGAGAACACAAGAAGAAAGAUGGCUCAGAGCAGGAGUCAGCAAACUAUAGCCUGUGGGCUGUAUCUGGCCUACUGCCUAUUUUUGUAAAUAAAGUUCUUUUUGGAACACAGCAUAUCCAUUCAUUUACAUAUUAUAUAUGGCUGUUUUCACACUACAAGGGCAGAGCAGAAUAGUUUUCAGAGACCAUCUGGUCUACAAAGCCUGAAAUGUUUAGUCUGGUCGUUUACAGAAAAAAUUUGCUGACCUCUGGCUUAGAGGAGAGAUGACUAAAAAAUCUGGAUAGGAGCACUUCGUGAGCAGUCCUUUUAGUUUGCACGCUUGUUUCUAGUUCUUGUUUACUGAACAAACUGCUUGGCUAUUAGGCAAAAUUGUCCAUCUGACUCUCUCAUGAUUAAUUACUGGUUGAUUUAAUAAAUGCACAUGUAUCCUUGCAGAAGGAUCAGUAAAUAUUUUCCAGAGGUGUGUCCUAUAAUAUGUGAUUUGUUUUCUGUAUUCAUCUUCAUAAUAUAUUCUUGAUGACAUUAGUAUGUCUAAUUGAAAGUAGUGGAAACUUACAUGGGAUACACAAUAGCUGUAUUCAAGUAUGUGAAGGACUCUCCUGUGAGUAAAAGGAUUAGAUGUAUUUAUCCUUCAAGUCCAACUAAAAUGUGCCUUUGUUGUUAAGCCCCUGAUUCUAGCUACUCCCUUCUUUGGGCAAAAUUAAUCACCCUCUCUUCUGUGCUUCCAAAAUUCUUUGUACAAAGUGCUGUUAUAGCAUUUGUCACAUGGCAUUAUAGGUCAUCAUUUGCACAUUUGUAACCCCAGUUGAUGGUGAAAUCCUUGAAAGUGAAGACAAUAUCUUCCUCUUUUUGGCAUCCUCAUCAUUGGGCUCGGGCCGUGACUCAUGAUGGUAGCAACCUAAUGCUUGAUGAGUGAAGGUAUAUUAUAAUCUCAGAGGGCAAAGCAAGGACCGUUGUGAAAUCUCAGUAAAAAGAACUUGGUGGUAGUGCUGGCAACCAAUUGAAAACUCUCCUGAACAGUGUGCUUGGACAUCAAAGAGAAGAACUAGGGGUUAGAAUGCCUAGGCUUGCAUUUUAACUGUGCCGUUUAAUAACUGUCCAUAGGUGGGUUGCUUAUCUCUGAACCUCAAUUUCCUCAGCUUUGAAAUGGAGAGGAUACAGGGAAGCAGUUUUCUAAGUGUGGGCUAUAAACCCCUGGGUAUUCCCAAAACACUUUCAAGGAGUCUUUGAGGUGAAACCUAUUUUUAUUAGAAUGCUAAGACAUUUGUCAUUUUCACUCUGUCGAUAUUGGCAUGGAUGGUGCAAAAGCAAUGGUGGGAAAACUCCUGGUGUCUUUGUACAAAUUAAAGCAGCAGCAGCACCAAGUUGAACUGAUAGUCAUUGUUUUCAUCUCGGUCAUAUACUGACAUGAAAAAAAAUACAUAACAGCUUCACUUAAGAAUGCUUUUGAUGAAGGAGUAAAAUUAUUAAUUUAUUAAAUAUACUUAUAUAAUUAUUAAAUAUAAAUUAUACUCAAUCUUUGAGUAUAAUUUCCUUUUUAAUAUUUUGUGUGAUAAAAUGGGAAGUAUACAUAAAUCGCUUUUACAUUUCGGAAGUAUAAGGGCUGACUUGAGGAAAAAGUACUUGUGCUAUUGAUUUGCCAGCUAAACCAGCAUGAAACUAGGCAUGGUGUUUCAGAAGCAUGCGUAGGUGAAGAUCCAUUGAAAGUGCAGUAUGGGCCAGGAGUCAUGACAGUUCAUGCCUGUAAUAUCAGCACGUUCGGAGUCAGGGAGGGAGUAUCUCAUGAGUCCAGGAGUUUGAGAUCAGCCUGGGCUACACAGGGAGAACCCAUCUCCACCAAAAUUAAAAAAUAAUAAGCUAGGUGUGGUGGCAUGUGCCUGUGGUCCAGCUAGUUGGGAGGCUGACAUGGGAGGAUGUCUUGAGCCUGGGAGUUUAAGGCUGCUGUGAGACUUGAUGGGACCCCUGCACCCCAGCCUGGGUGACAGAGCAAGACCCUGUAUUAAAAAAUUUGAAAGUACAAUAUGGAUAUACUUUAAGAUGAAAAGAUGUUAAUGUAAUAGCAUCAAUAUGUUAAAUUCAUUGAUAGGGUUUCAGAUUCCACAUUGCCAGCCACUUUUAAAGAAACUACUACUGUCAAGUUUUGGUGUGAUAUCAAAGAUAAAAUAUCUGCAUUAUGUGAAAAGGCUUUUAAAGAGUACCUGCUUUUUCUACUAUAUAUCAUCUGUGUGAGGUAAGAUUUCUUCAUAUACUUCAAGCAAAGCCACAUAUUGCAACAGAUUGAAUAUAUAAGCAGAUAUGAAAAUCCAGCUGUCUUCUAAGGCAGACAUGAAAAUGAUUUGCAAAACUUAUAAAACAAAGCUGUUCUCCUCACCAGUUUUGUUUUGGAAAAUAGAGUUAUUUAUUAUAAAAUGUUAUUUAUAUUAAUGUGUAAUCAAUUUAUAAUUUUUAUUUAAAAUGUGUUUGUAAACAUUUUAAAAUUUCCAUUUUAAUUUCUAAUAUGGUAAGUAUUAAUAGAGUAAAUUCACACAACAAGUCUUUGAAGUUCUCAGUUUUUAAGAGUAUAUAAUAAGGGUCCUGAGACCAAACAGUUUGAGAAUCACUGAUGUGGGAGACAGGCAUUUUCAUAUACUGCUGAUGGGAGUAUAAAUUGGUACAAACUCUUUGGAAACCAUAUGCUAUUAUCUACCAAAACUUAAAACACUUGCCCAUCGAUUCAGCCAUAUAAUACAACAUUGGUUGUAAAAGUAAAACAAAAGAAAAUGGGAAUUAAAGCACACAACAGUUGAAGCUCUUUAAGUAAGUACAUCCCAAAAGUGAAUUUAUAUAUAUUUUGCAGAUAUUAAAAAUAGUUACUAAUCUGGAACUAUACAAAGAGUUCCAAGACAUGUUAAGUAUUAAAAUAGCCGCAGAAAAUUAUUUUUAGUAUAUCCUAUUUGUGUAAAUAACAGUUAUCUGUUAAUAUAGACAAAUGCCUAGAAUCUGGAGUUACUUUGGAGAAAAUGAUUAGGGGCCAAAGAAGGGUGAAAAGAGACAUUCAGAUCUCAUUUCAUACCCUUUCAUAUUUUGUUAUUUACAUAUCCAUUUUUCGUCUUACUUAAAAAAUUAAUGUAGGUGAUAAUACUCAGAAUGUAAACUAGUUGAGCAGUGUUAAAUCUCGUGGCCUAUAGAGGAUGUUUACAAUGUAAGUGUUGCAUUUUGCAUGUAAUUAUUACAUAUGUAGUGACACUGUUGGUUGUAAAAGUGAAUGAUCACUUCACGUGUUAGUGUGAUCUCAUCAGUAGAGUGUUCUCCAAGCAAUUAACGAAUGAUAAGGAAAUAUCAUAGAUCAGAUUUCUGCCUCUGAGUAUAUUCAACUGAUCUCUCAGUUUAAAUUCUGAUACUCUUUGAUACCGUUAUUUCUUAAUGAACAGCCAUAAUAUUUGGGACUAGAAGUUCUAUACCAAAGGUCCUCCAUCAAAAAUUUUGAUAGAAUUCACUUUUCCCCUUUAAUUUUGUUCUCAAAGUAGGGAGGGACUACUAGGACAAAUAUGUAAAUAUUCACUUAGUCUUAUACUGUGCCACAGUAGGAAGCACCCUAAGUUAUGAAAAGAAAUUAUUACAUUAAUCUCACAAUUGCCGGUUCUACAAACUGGAAUUUAUUUAGUAGAAUUGCUCCCAUUCUUAGGAUAAGUUUGUCUCUAGGAUAAAUUUUUCCUAUAAGAUAAAUGAUGCAAUUUGCCAUCUUAAAAUAAAGAACACUCCAUAUAUUAUUAUAUAAUUUUAAAAAAUUAUUUAGUGAUUAACACAACUACUUUUUGGGUCCAGUAAUAUAAUCUUUUUAGUCAAGAGUCGUGUAAUAUAAUUACAUCAACAUAUACAGACAAACUUGUGUCAACUGUAUAUGCAACUAUAUUUUUAUAAAAUAGGAGUGAGGUUGUUGUGUGAAAACAGGUGGACUUUUCUGGAAGAACAGAAAUAAUUUACUACUAGCAUCUUAUUGAAAGAAAAAUGCCAAUUCAAUUUGAAUAAUGUUGGGAGAUAAAGCAUGCCAGCAUUAUUCUUUAUUUCUUUUAUUAAUGAGUUUGGGUACAAAAAAGUCAAUAAAAAUUGCAUUAAAAACUCAUAAACAUUGUUCAAAUCUUCUUUCUCCAUCAGUCAGAUUCAUAAAGCUGGCAUUUACAUUUAAAUGGCAGUUAAUAACAAUAGAAUUUUAUUUAGUGAGUCAAACAACACAUGGACUCAUUUAUUUACUUAUCGGGCAUUUGUUGAGUGCCUCCUCUCUGCCAGACCCCAUACCAGGUACUGGGUCUCCAGCCUUGAAUAAGACAUACUUCUUACAUUCUAUGAGUUUAAUCACCAGUGGAGCAGAAAACUAUGUAAACUGAUAACUAAGGAAGUAACAUUGUGAAAUAGGAAGAGCAUGAGAUCUAGGGGGUAAACAAAUUUUAAACUUGGGCUUCCCCAUUUCUGAAUUAUAUAGACUUCCAACUUUUCUAAGUUUCAGGGCUUCAUCUGUAAAACAGAGAUAAUAAUUUCAGAGUGUGUCUUUUUUAGGAGUUGGAGAAAACAUUAAAAGUACAGAGCCUGAAACUAAAUCUAAUCAAAUGAGAUCUAUUUAUUACCCUUAAACAAUAAUAUGAAAGGUACUAUAUUACAGGCAUGUACAAGGAAGAAAGGAUAAUUGACUUGGGGAUGGAGACAGGUAAUGAAAAAUUUCUUAAUGGACAAGUGUUUAGGAUAAGGCAAUGUUCACAGCAGGAAUUCCAAGCCCAGAAAUUUUCAUUCACAGAGGUAUGAUUCGAACUUGUGCUAAAGUAUGAGGAACUACAAGUCAUUUGGUGAGGCUGUAGUCUCAAAAGCAUUGAAAUGAAGAUGGUGUAUUAAUGGUUGUCAAUCAUUUAAUGGUUGUCAGAGGACAUUUUCUGUCCUGCAAAUGAUUCAAGACUUUAUGCAGUGCAAUGGGAAUGACAAUAAAUAGAGUUGAGCUAUAUUUUGAAGGUAGAAUUUAUAGAAUGAGUGACAAUGUAAGACUGAAGGAAAGAAAGGAAGAAAAUUCCAGAUUUCUGGCUCAGGUAAGUAAUAGUUGAUGUCAUUGAUCAGAAGAAAGAAUUGAGGAGAAAACGUAGGUUUCAGGGCAAAAUGAUCAAUUUCAUUUGGGUAUAUGAAAUCUUCCUUGUCAGGAUCUCAGGCAGGAGACCACACCUGGGUUGGAGAAAAGACUGGAGAGUGCUAAGCAUCAGAUGACUACCUAGAAGUCAGAAGUCCCAAGUUUCUAAAUGUGUUGUUCACUAGCUUUGUGACUAGUGAAUUUCACCUUUCCUUUUUCUAUAAGGGAUUUAAAGCAGCUUAACUGUGUAAUUAUGAUGUCUCAUAAAUGUCCAGGUCUCAGCCUACGUUUUCUCAUGAGUACAAAUUUUGAAAAACUAGUCAACAUCCUUCACAGAGUUGUUUUAAGGAUCACAUUUUUUUGAUAUCUGUGAAAUCCCUGGAACAUAUCUGAUAUACAAACAGAGAAUGACAUGUUUAGCACUUAAAGAUUGAAAUUACAUUAUGCAAGCAAACAUGGAACUCUGAGGAAACUCAUUGGUAAUGACACUGUUUAUGGUUACAGUGUAAUGUCCGAUCAUUUAUUGUAAUGCAGUGUAAUGGUUAGAAGUGAGGCCUCUGAGUCAAACUGCCUAGAUUCAAAUAUCAGCCAUUUACUCUUUGAUUUUGGGCAAGUUAUUUAACCUUUUUUAUAAGACAGAAACUUGCAGAGUAUCUACCUCAUAGGUUGUCAGGAAGAUGAAAUGAGUUAGUGUAUAUAAAGCAUACAGGUCAGUGACUGAUGCGUAAUUUAGGUCUCAGUGUGUACUCAAUAUUUUUACAAUCGUCAUCAGAGGCAGUAACAUCAUAAGCAUUUGUCACUAACAAAUGGCAAAAUUUUUGUGGAGGGACAUUGGAGAUAAUCAUAUUGGUUUUAUAGAUGAGGAAAAGGGAGCUCAGAUAAGUUGAAAGAUAUGUUCAAGGAUGCAUAUAUCUUUAGUGAAAGAUGGCACUGAGGCCCAAAUACUUCUUAACUCACUAUACUUCCUUAACCCUUUUUAGGGUAGGGUCUGUGUCUUCAUGAGUAGUUUAAGCAAAAAUGUAAUUUGAGUUGACAAUUAUGUAUGUCUUACAGACAAUAACAUUGCAGAUGUUCUCCUUUAUUAAUAAAUUUGGUAAAGGUCAGAAGUUUCCUUUUUACAGAUGUUAGCUCAAAUUAAGCACUAACUGUUAUGGGUGUGUGUGUGUGUGUGUGUGUGUAUGUGUCAGACGGUAGUCAUAAUGUGAAACACAUAUGUUCAGAUAAUAUUUGCUAGUUACUCCCUAGCAGUUGCAGACCCCCAGUAUUCAAGGGAAACAAAACACCAAGAUUCCAUAAGAUACUUUAUUGAUAUGCCUUAUUUUAUAAUUUUCUUUGUGAUUUAUUAGGUGAAUUAAACACAUACCUUAAGAAGAGAUUUUCUUGUUUUGUAAGUUUAUUAUGAAUAUUAGACCUCAGGCUAAAGUUAUUGAACAUUAGCACAUAUGCACAUAAAGCACUGUGAUAACAUCACAGAAUAUUUAAUGAUACUUGAGUUUCACAUAAAAUAUUUUCACCUGCAAAGCCCAAAGCAUUUCAUAAAUAUUAAUGCUGUUAAUCAAAGAUUUGAAUAAAUAGAUGGAUUUUGUAUUAUACCCUGAAGAUAAGUAGAGUGAGAUUCUUAUUGAAUUUAUGUCGUCUAUUUUAGGAGCUAGGUGGAGGUGAUAAAACUGAGCCCAGACUUUUUUUUUUUUUUGAGACGGAGUUUUGCUCUUGUUACCCAGGCUGGAGUGCAAUGGCGUGAUCUCGCUGAGCCCAGAUUUUCAUUAAUUACCUAUAAUAAGUGGUUCCAAAUAAAACAUUUUAGAAUGUUACCAGAAAUAGUUGCUAGAUAGUCAGACUCUAGACAUGAAAAACAAGAUAAAGAAGGAAAGUUAAAUAAGAUAAAAUGAACAGUAAGUUAAGCAAAUAUUGUUUAAAAGAUACAGAGAAAUUAAGAAAAAAGGUGUAGUCAAUUUAUAAAUCACACGUUUGUAUUGUCUUAAUUUAGGCACACCAUGGAAAUCAAUAGUUGUAGUUUCACUUGGAAGAUAUAGUUUAUCAUGAUUAUUUAACUAGGAAUUUCACUUUCUUCCUUUCAAUUUGGAUUAUCAUGCAUUUCCCCCAUUCUGAGCUCCUCCAGCUCUAAAAUUCACAUGAUGUUCUACAAUGGGAUAUUUUCCUUAGUAAAAUCAUUGGGUUCUAGUUUGCUAAAAAAUGUAUACUGUGCGGUUUAAGAAAUCCGUAGUGAGUACCUAACAAUUACAUGUUGCUCUGGUCACUAUUUUUGUUACUUUGUGAGUGGUGAUGGUUUGGAUUUGCACAGAGAAGUAAGUGAAAGCAGCUCUCCACCAAUGCAGUUAUGGGGUCACUUUCCUUACCUCUACCCUAUUUUUAUUAGAUGUCCUGGGUGUGCUUCACAGGUUUCGAAAUGGGAACAUUUCUACACUUCAGCCAAAAUAUAUGCAUCACAGUUUAUAUCACAUGGGAACUGCUUGGGCUUGAAGGCCUUUCUCAGCUCCGUCACAGCCUCAUUCCCUCCCUACCUUUGAACCUCCCCAAACAAACACUAAGCUGCUUCUCUUCCCCUGUAUUCCAUCUUUACCUCACCAUGACUUCCAACAAGGUUCUGCCCAAGCUCCAGUUCUUUCACAAAUCCUUUGCUAACCUCGCCGGUCACAACUGAUUUAUUAUAUUGUACUCCUAGAGCACUCUCUCGGCAUCUCACAGUUGAGCAGUUAUAGUUCAGUGUGGUUUCAUGAGGCUUGUUAUUGUCUUAAUGGUAUUUUGUUUCUAAAAGAAACUACCACGUGUUUCAUUUUUGACACCUAUAUGGUCCCUGGCAUAGUGAGGAGGAAAUAGAUUAAAUAUCCUAAUAAAUUUCUAUUAACAAGUUAAGUAUUGUGACCAAAUCUGUCUUAUUUUAUUCUUAAAAUACCCAUUUGUAAUGAGGUUUUCUUUCUGAGCAAUGGAUUGUUAGAAAUGACUUUCAUACACGUAAAUUUUAAUUAUAUAUAUAUAUUUGUACUUAACAAAUUGUUUUCAUUGAAAAGAAUCCUACCUGAGCAACAGAGUGAGACCCUGUCCCUAAAAGUAAAAUAAAAGAAAUAGAAGGAAAAAAAAGAAAAACAAAUCAGGCUGUCCUGGUAAAUGUGGAGCAUAUACAGCAUACACUGUAUUGGUUUGUGAUGAUUUUUUAGAUAUAAACAUUCCCUAUUUUAAUUCUUAGCCUCUUAUUAAUAAUUAAUACUCUCUGAUAAUGCUUUUUACUAUAUAUUUUUGUUACUUUGAUAUUUUUUCAAGAUCCUAUACAUUUUCAAACAGAGAGUAAAUGCUCUUCAGCUAUUGUUUAGUCAUAAUAAAAUUAUAGAGGUUCCAAAAUAUGAAAAACUGAUAACUUCAAGUAGUCCCUAGUUAAUGAUUUUGCUACCUUAAAAUGGCAAUUGCUUAUAAAACAUUAUACACCCUUUCUGUGAAAUAGGAAAAACUCUUCAGAGAGGAAAACCAGAGAUGGAAUUUGGAAUGUUGCUUGGCUAUGUAUAUAGAACUGCUCCUAAAAAGAAUACAGUAAAAUGAUAACAUAGCAAUUUCUAGGUUAUGUUCACAAGCAGAGAGAGCCCAGUACUGCCAAUCAAAUCAAAAGUGUUCUGUGUUUCAUUGGGAAUUGAUGUCUUUAGUUAAUACACUCAGAAGCAUUAAAAAAAUAACCUAUGUUCUGAAUUAAGUAUGGAAAGUACAUUUCUGUCCAGGAAUUCGUUGAGAUGAAAUUAUUUUAUCUGAGGAAACAAUGCAGUAAAUUUUAUUUCCUUUUGGUGUAAUUUUAAAGUGUUCUUUCUAUUUUAAACUUAGACCAAAAAAAAUGCACUCUAUAAAUUGAGUGAUGUGAACUACUUUAGCAGAGAGUUAAUAAAUAUUACACUAGCCUAGGACAGUAUCUAUAGAAAGUAAAA